GACAGAGGGAAGGAACGAGAGUUAGUGUCUUAAUGACAACCAGUGUUUCAUACCUUCAGGUCAGAUGAUUCAGAAAAAAAGUUAACAUGUGGACUCAAUUUUCAAAGAUGUGAUUCUAGUCUUGCAAAAAUCUACUUCUUGAUUCAAUCAUACUGAAUCAUUAGAAAAACUAAAUUCUAUGGGAGAGAAAAAAGAGAGAGGAAAUUAUACAUCCUUGAGAGGAGAACACCAGCAUUUCAAAAGUUAAUUUAGUAGGAAUAUUCAAGCAGCAUUAAGUUCAACUUAGUUUUGUUGUCAUGAGUGUCUUAUUAUUUCUAGUAGUAAGAUAAUCUACUGACCCUUCCUAAAUCCAACAUGUGCUCAUUUGGGAUUCUAAUCUGGAACAAUGGACUCUGGAACAGUGAGGAAUCAGAAAGCAAAGAGACAAGUUUUCCUAUGUCAAAAAACACCGCAUUCUGUCAUUUUCUAGAGUUUCAAGUAACAGAGUCUUAAUCCAUCCUGGGCAUCAUACGGGAACUUGCAUAAGUCCCAUGGAAGUCAACAAAUGCUACCCCUCAGCAAAUAUUUACACUCCGGAUAAGUAAUACCAUCAAGGACAAUCUUGAAAAUGAGGGCCAGACUGCACAUAAACUACAUGUAAAUUUAGAGGGUGGAGAGGGUUCCAAAAGAAGGAAAACCUUAGUGUAAAUAUAAAAACAUGAGAGUACUGCAACUGAAAAAGCCAAGCUCAGCUUGGGAGUGUGACACUAUAUGAUAUUAUGGAGUAGUAGAAAGUCAAGCAACUGUGUUAGCCAGGAUCCUAGCUUCUGGUAGACAAAUUGAACCGUAGUCCCUAUCUGACAGUGCUGGGUAGGCUGAGGGAAGGAAAACAGUUUCAGAGAAUGGGAGAAAAGAUAGUCUAAGGUGUGGAAAAGAGAAAAAUCUCUCUUGUCUGAGCGUUCAGCAGGGUCAAUGUCUCUCUCAUUCUUUCUCUCCACACAGGGCCCUUAUUCUUUUGCUUCAUGAAAGGAUCCUGCCUCUGGGUUGGCUACGCAAUUUUAUUAGUAGUUUGUAGGAGGGCUGAAAUCUUGGCAAUUGAAUCUAAUUUCCAGGGUUGUAAAGUCUGACCUGGAAAUGUAAGUCAUUAAUGAAAAGGAAGUGGCUUAUUAUGCAACCAAAGAAAAAUAAUGUGUCUGAAAGAUAGAGCCAUUUGUUUCUAGCUAUCAGGUUGCUAAUUUAUGGGCAGUUUUCAAAUUAUCCAGUGGAUCUUUGCAGCAAGCCUUGUAGCCUCUGGAGACUGUGAAAUCAUAGUGAUAGUAUGCCUACUCUUGCUAGCAUGUAACCAAUAUGGCCCACACACUGUAGGGUUGAGAUUGCCUAUGGAUUCAACAAGCCUAGAGUAGAUUUUUUAGAAGACAUGUCCUUGGUUUGGAAUCAUCCAGAGUAGUUAUUUGCCUCAAAUUAUGUAUAAACUCCUGCUUUUUAACAUAUGUUCUGUGGGAUAUUAAAAACAUUUCUUGGAGCACCA